CCUACGGGCGGCAGCAGUGGGGAAUAUUGGGCAAUGGGCGCAAGCCUGACCCAGCAACGCCGCGUGAAGGAAGAAGGCUUUCGGGUUGUAAACUUCUUUUCUCAGGGACGAAGAAAGUGACGGUUCCUUAGGAAUACGCCACUGCUAACGACGUGCCAGCAGCCGCAGUACUACGUAGGUGGCAAGCGUUAUCCGGAUCUACUGGGUGUAAAGGGCGUGUAGGCGGGACUGCAAGUCAGGAGUGAAAACCACGGGCUCAACCUGGGGCCUGCAUUUGAAACUGUAGUUAUUGAGUACUGGAGAGGCAGACGGAAUUCCUAGUGUAGCGGUGAAAUGCGUAGAUAUUAGGAGGAACACCAGUGGCGAAGGCGGUCUGCUGGACAGCAACUGACGCUGAGGCGCGAAAGCGUGGGGAGCAAACAGGAUUAGAUUCCCUUGUAGUC
rnacentral:rRNA from 1 species